UAGGGAAUCUUCGGCAAUGGACGAAAGUCUGACCGAGCAACGCCGCGUGAGUGAAGAAGGUUUUCGGAUCGUAAAACUCUGUUGUUAGAGAAGAACAAGGACGUUAGUAACUGAACGUCCCCUGACGGUAUCUAACCAGAAAGCCACGGCUAACUACGUGCCAGCAGCCGCGGUAAUACGUAUGUGGCAAGCGUUGUCCGGAUUUAUUGGGCGUAAAGCGAGCGCAGGCGGUUUGUUAAGUCUGAUGUGAAAGCCCCCGGCUCAACCGGGGAGGGUCAUUGGAAACUGGGAGACUUGAGUGCAGAAGAGGAGAGUGGAAUUCCAUGUGUAGCGGUGAAAUGCGUAGAUAUAUGGAGGAACACCAGUGGCGAAGGCGGCUCUCUGGUCUGUAACUGACGCUGAGGCUCGAAAGCGUGGGGAGCAAACAGG
rnacentral:rRNA from 1 species